rnacentral:rRNA from 1 species
GACGAACGCUGGCGGCGUGCUUAACACAUGCAAGUCGAACGGAAAGGCCCUGCUUUUGUGGGGUGCUCGAGUGGCGAACGGGUGAGUAACACGUGAGUAACCUGCCCUUGACUUUGGGAUAACUUCAGGAAACUGGGGCUAAUACCGGAUAGGAGCUCCUGCUGCAUGGUGGGGGUUGGAAAGUUUCGGCGGUUGGGGAUGGACUCGCGGCUUAUCAGCUUGUUGGUGGGGUAGUGGCUUACCAUGGCUUUGACGGGUAGCCGGCCUGAGAGGGUGACCGGCCACAUUGGGACUGAGAUACGGCCCAGACUCCUACGGGAGGCAGCAGUGGGGAAUAUUGCACAAUGGGCGGAAGCCUGAUGCAGCAACGCCGCGUGCGGGAUGACGGCCUUCGGGUUGUAAACCGCUUUCGCCUGUGACGAAGCGUGAGUGACGGUAAUGGGUAAAGAAGCACCGGCUAACUACGUGCCAGCAGCCGCGGUGAUACGUAGGGUGCGAGCGUUGUCCGGAUUUAUUGGGCGUAAAGGGCUCGUAGGUGGUUGAUCGCGUCGGAAGUGUAAUCUUGGGGCUUAACCCUGAGCGUGCUUUCGAUACGGGUUGACUUGAGGAAGGUAGGGGAGAAUGGAAUUCCUGGUGGAGCGGUGGAAUGCGCAGAUAUCAGGAGGAACACCAGUGGCGAAGGCGGUCCUCUGGGCCUUUCCUGACGCUGAGGAGCGAAAGCGUGGGGAGCGAACAGGCUUAGAUACCCUGGUAGUCCACGCUGUAAACGGUGGGUACUAGGUGUGGGGUCCAUUCCACGGGUUCCGUGCCGUAGCUAACGCUUUAAGUACCCCGCCUGGGGAGUACGGCCGCAAGGCUAAAACUCAAAGGAAUUGACGGGGCCCCGCACAAGCGGCGGAGCAUGCGGAUUAAUUCGAUGCAACGCGUAGAACCUUACCUGGGUUUGACAUGGAUCGGGAGUGCUCAGAGAUGGGUGUGCCUCUUUUGGGGUCGGUUCACAGGUGGUGCAUGGCUGUCGUCAGCUCGUGUCGUGAGAUGUUGGGUUAAGUCCCGCAACGAGCGCAACCCUUGUUCACUGUUGCCAGCACGUUAUGGUGGGGACUCAGUGGAGACCGCCGGGGUCAACUCGGAGGAAGGUGGGGAUGACGUCAAGUCAUCAUGCCCCUUAUGUCCAGGGCUUCACGCAUGCUACAAUGGCUGGUACAGAGAGUGGCGAGCCUGUGAGGGUGAGCGAAUCUCGGAAAGCCGGUCUCAGUUCGGAUUGGGGUCUGCAACUCGACCUCAUGAAGUCGGAGUCGCUAGUAAUCGCAGAUCAGCAACGCUGCGGUGAAUACGUUCCCGGG